GUUUUGCCAUGUUGGCCAGGCUGGUCUCCAACUCCUGACCUCAGGUGAUUCCCCCUGCCUUGGCCUUCCAAAAUGCUGGGAUUACAGGCGUGAGCCAUGGCGCCCAGCCCUUCCUCCCAUUUUUGCUACCCACCUGUCACUUCUUGACAUUGUGAUUAUUUAUGUCAUACUGUUUCUGAUCUGUUCUGGGCCUGGGAAUCAAAUAGCCAUGUUUGCUAGGCCUUUGUAUGAGAUGCUGCAUUUUGACUGAGGCCUCAGGACUCCCGGGUGAAAGAUUGCUUCCAAGUAUGAUCAUCAGGCAGAAGAAGAUCUUCGCAAUUGGAUAGAAGAGGUGACAGGCAUGAGCAUUGGCCCCAACUUCCAGCUGGGCUUAAAGGAUGGCAUCAUCCUCUGCGAACUUAUAAACAAGCUACAGCCAGGCUCAGUGAAGAAGGUCAACGAGUCCUCACUGAACUGGCCUCAGUUGGAGAAUAUUGGCAACUUUAUUAAAGCUAUUCAGGCUUAUGGUAUGAAGCCACAUGACAUAUUCGAAGCAAAUGAUCUU
rnacentral:lncRNA from 1 species